GCUCCUGACUCAGGAUGAACGCUAGCGGCAGGCUUAACACAUGCAAGUCGAGGGGCAGCAUAAUGGAUAGCAAUAUCUAUGGUGGCGACCGGCGCACGGGUGCGUAACGCGUAUGCAACCUACCUUUAACAGGGGGAUAACACUGAGAAAUUGGUACUAAUACCCCAUAAUAUCAUAGAAGGCAUCUUUUAUGGUUGAAAAUUCCGAUGGUUAGAGAUGGGCAUGCGUUGUAUUAG
rnacentral:rRNA from 1 species